rnacentral:rRNA from 1 species
UACGGAGGUGGCAAGCGUUAAUCGGAAUUACUGGGCGUAAAGCGCACGCAGGUGGCUGAGAAAGUAGGUUGUGAAAGCCCUGGGCUUAACCUUGGAACUGCAGUCGAAACUCCUCAGCUAGAGUAUGGGAGAGGUCAGUGGAAGUCCCAGUGUAGCGGUGAAAUUCGUAGAUAUCGGGAGGAACAUCAGUGGCGAAGGCGGCUGCCUGGCUCGAUACUGACACUCAGGUGCGACAGCGUGGGGAGCAAACAGG